GACGAACGCUGGCGGCGUGCUUAACACAUGCAAGUCGAACGAGAUCCACGAGGUGGUAACACCUCGGAAGAUCUAGUGGCGAACGGGUGAGUAACACGUGAGGAACCUGCCCCGGACUCUGGGAGUAACUACAGGGAAACGUUAGAGCUAAUACCGGAUACCCUCUCGAGAUUGCAUGGUCUCUUGAGGAAAGUUUUUCGG
rnacentral:rRNA from 1 species